GCCAAUGUAGCUCAGUUGGUAGAGCAGCUCACUUGUAAUGAGCAGGUCGUCGGUUCGAUCCCGACCAUUGGCUCCA
rnacentral:tRNA from 1 species